rnacentral:rRNA from 1 species
UGUAGAGAAUCUGCCCUGUACUGGGGGACAACAGAGGGAAACUUCUGCUAAUACCCCAUAUGAGCGUACCUGCGAUGGUAUUCUUGAAAGUUCCGGCGGUACAGGAUGAGUCUGCAUCUGAUUAGCUAGCUGGUGGUGUAAUGGACUACCAAGGCGACGAUCAGUAGCUGGUUUGAGAGGAUGACCAGCCACAAUGGGACUGAGACACGGCCCAUACUCCUACGGGAGGCAGCAG